rnacentral:rRNA from 1 species
CAUGCAAGUCGAACGGAGCGCCAUGGAAUGAGGUUUCGGCCAAAGGAAAUGGUUGCUUAGUGGCGGACUGGUGAGUAACGCGUGAGGAACCUGCCUUUCAGAGGGGGACAACAGUUGGAAACGACUGCUAAUACCGCAUGACGCAUGACUGGGGCAUCCCAGACAUGCCAAAGAUUUAUCGCUGAAAGAUGGCCUCGCGUCCGAUUAGAUAGUUGGCGGGGUAACGGCCCACCAAGUCGACGAUCGGUAGCCGGACUGAGAGGUUGGCCGGCCACAUUGGGACUGAGAUACGGCCCAGACUCCUACGGGAGGCAGCAGUGGGGAAUAUUGGGCAAUGGACGCAAGUCUGACCCAGCAACGCCGCGUGAAGGAAGAAGGCUUUCGGGUUGUAAACUUCUUUGACAGGGGAAGAGUAGAAGACGGUACCCUGAAAACAAGCCACGGCUAACUACGUGCCAGCAGCCGCGGUAAUACGUAGGUGGCAAGCGUUGUCCGGAUUUACUGGGUGUAAAGGGCGUGCAGCCGGGCCGAUAAGUCAGAUGUGAAAUCCCGAGGCUUAACCUCGGAACUGCAUUUGAAACUGUUGGUCUUGAGUAUCGGAGAGGUCAUCGGAAUUCCUUGUGUAGCGGUGA